rnacentral:rRNA from 1 species
GAUGAACGCUGGCGGCGUGCCUAAUACAUGCAAGUCGAGCGAACAGAUGAGGAGCUUGCUCCUCUGACGUUAGCGGCGGACGGGUGAGUAACACGUGGAUAACCUACCUAUAAGACUGGGAUAACUUCGGGAAACCGGAGCUAAUACCGGAUAAUAUAUUGAACCGCAUGGUUCAAUAGUGAAAGACGGUUUUGCUGUCACUUAUAGAUGGAUCCGCGCCGCAUUAGCUAGUUGGUAAGGUAACGGCUUACCAAGGCAACGAUGCGUAGCCGACCUGAGAGGGGGAUCGGCCACACUGGAACUGGGACGCGGUCAAGACGCCUACGGGAGGGAGCAGAAGGGAAUCUGACGCAAUAGGCGAGAGCCUGACGGAACAGCGCCGCGUGAGUGAUGAAGGUGUUCGGAGCGUAAAACUCUGUUAUUGGGGAAAAACAAAUGUGUAAUGAACUAUACACGUCUUGACGGUACCUAAUCAAAAAGCAACGGCUAACUACGUG